rnacentral:lncRNA from 1 species
AUACGCUCCAGAACUGGACACACUGACCCAGUCUCCCACCUCUCCCUCCACCUGCUCUUGGUCCCCCGCACCCGCCCCCAGGGGUCCUGCACCCACAGUGUGAGAGGCCUGGGGAGGAGGGCUUGGGUCCCCAUCUCUAGGUGCCUUCUCUCUCCUGUCCCAAGUGAGACCCUGGCAAAUGCCUGGGGGCCCAACUAAUCGUCUGUCUCCCCUUCCUUCUCCCCUGCCCUCAGCAAAAAGAGGAGACUAGAUUCCGAGUGCAGCUGUGGGAGCUCCUCACCCCUGCGCAAGAAGAAGAAGAGUGUGAAGAAACACCGCCGAGACAGGUCUGAUUCUGGGUCCCGGAGGAAGAGGCGGCACAGAUCUCGAAGCCCCAAGAGCAAAAGAAAGGAAAAGAACAAAGAAAGGAAGAGGCUACACGCAGAGUCCCCAGGCCGGAGGGCCCAUCGCCACAGCAGCGGCAGGUCCCACAGCCCCUCACUGUCCUCCCAUUACAGUGAUUCCAGAUCACCCAGCAGGUAGGUCCAGGGCUGCUGGGAGCACUCAGGUGUGGUUGAGCUCAGCUUUCAGCUGGAGCGGCGGGGACUUGCAGUUUAAACGCGCCCCCCUACCCCGCCCCAGGGCUGGGAAGCAGGGCUGGUGGACAGACAGCAACUGAUCCUUGGGUAGAAAUUUACCGGGUCUGCUCUGCUGCCCAUGUCCAAGGGCGCCCCAGACACUGGACUGGAAAGCGAGGCAGCCUGAGGGCUGGGGCCUUCCUCUCUCCACAGAAGGGAUUCCCAGCCCAGUAAGAGGAGGCGGGGGCGGGGCGAGGGGACACUGCCCUUCGUG